AAUACCCACCAUUUGCUUCAACGUGGAUGGAACUGGAGGGUAUUAUGCUGAGUGAAUGCUACUCUUUCCAUCUUUAAGUUACAAAAUUAACUUAUAAGUCUCUUCAAAGGAGUCAUGGUCUACUUUUUACACUGAAAGGCAAAAUUAUAAAGAACAUGGGCGUUGGAAUAAAACAGUCAUGCUAACCACAUUUCAGCUAACCAGCUGCAUGACAAUGGGUCAUGAUCUCAGGGCCCUGGGAUCAAGCUGUGCAUCAAGCUCUGCACUGAGUACGGA